UAUUAAAAAAGUUAAAAAUUAUUACAAAAUUUUGUACAUUAUUAAUUAAUUUAAAUCUAUAGUAAUAGAAAAUUACCAGAAAAAAGAAUAUAUUUACGCGUUCACAUUAUUGAAAUAACGUCCUACACGCUAUAAGCGAAAUGUGACACUGAGCAAACAAAAUAUUAAGAAGUAGACAUAUACAAGAAAAGAAUCGACGAUGAAGGGUCAACGACAUUUCAGUAAACAGAGAAAUUAGGUAAUAAGAGAAAUGUCAGAGCAUCAAAAUAUGACAAGAUUACGAGUAUUUAUUUUCAUUGAGAAAGUGUGUAUAAUAAUUAUUAAGAUUUUGUAUGUCAUCCCUUUUAUUAAUCGGGUUAAUUUGUAAAUUAAUAUAAAUCAUUUCUGAUAUUAAACGUUUUUUGUAAUUAUCCUCUCUGUCAAGAAUUGCAAAAUUAACAAAAUCAAAUCUGUGUUUUAAAGAAUCACAAUGAUGUGCAACUAUAUUAUCUUUAGAAUUUUUAUGUUCAUUAAUUCGGACGCCAACCAUUCUUUUUGACUGUCCAACAUAUGAGGCAGAGCAAUCAUGACAAUUAAUCUUAUAAACAGUAUUAGUAUUUUCAGUUUUUUUAUUUUUGUCUUUAUAUUUAACGAUAAGAUUGUGACUCAUAUUAAUAUUACUAAUAGGAAUAGUUAAAAUGUUGUAAUUCUUUAAUAAGAAUGAAACAUUCUCAAAAAGAUUAGGAACAUAAGGUAAAAAGACCUUGGGUAACAUAUUGUAUAUUGUCCUAUUAUUAUUAUAAUUAUUCCCAUUAGAGUCAUUGUGUUUAUUUAAAUUAAUGAAGGAAAUACGUUUUUUAGUAUAUUUACGGAUAAAUUCUAUUGGAUAAUUAUUAUUCAAUAGUAACUGUUCAACAAAUUGAAUGUUUUUUGAAUGAAAUUGCUUAUCUGACAACUUAACAGCUCUGUCAAUAAGAUUGUAUACAAUAGCAACUUUUUGUGAAAAUGGAUGUUUUGAUUUGUAAUUGAUAGUUCGUCCAGAAAAUGUAGGUUUUAAGAACCAGUCAGUAAUGAGCUUUUUAUUGUCAAUAAUAAUAAGAACAUCUAAAAAGUUUAUACUAUUGUUAUUUAACAUUUCAAAUGUAAAUUGUAAUCUUUCAUCAUAGCCGUUAAAUUAAUUAGUUUAAUUAAUAGUUUAAUUAAUAGUAUAAACUUUUUAGAUGUUCUUAUUAUUAUUGACAAUAAAAAGCUCAUUACUGACUGGUUCUUAAAACCUACAUUUUCUGGACGAACUAUCAAUUACAAAUCAAAACAUCCAUUUUCACAAAAAGUUGCUAUUGUAUACAAUCUUAUUGACAGAGCUGUUAAGUUGUCAGAUAAGCAAUUUCAUUCAAAAAACAUUCAAUUUGUUGAACAGUUACUAUUGAAUAAUAAUUAUCCAAUAGAAUUUAUCCGUAAAUAUACUAAAAAACGUAUUUCCUUCAUUAAUUUAAAUAAACACAAUGACUCUAAUGGGAAUAAUUAUAAUAAUAAUAGGACAAUAUACAAUAUGUUACCCAAGGUCUUUUUACCUUAUGUUCCUAAUCUUUUUGAGAAUGUUUCAUUCUUAUUAAAGAAUUACAACAUUUUAACUAUUCCUAUUAGUAAUAUUAAUAUGAGUCACAAUCUUAUCGUUAAAUAUAAAGACAAAAAUAAAAAAACUGAAAAUACUAAUACUGUUUAUAAGAUUAAUUGUCAUGAUUGCUCUGCCUCAUAUGUUGGACAGUCAAAAAGAAUGGUUGGCGUCCGAAUUAAUGAACAUAAAAAUUCUAAAGAUAAUAUAGUUGCACAUCAUUGUGAUUCUUUAAAACACAGAUUUGAUUUUGUUAAUUUUGCAAUUCUUGACAGAGAGGAUAAUUACAAAAAACGUUUAAUAUCAGAAAUGAUUUAUAUUAAUUUACAAAUUAACCCGAUUAAUAAAAGGGAUGACAUACAAAAUCUUAAUAAUUAUUAUACACACUUUCUCAAUGAAAAUAAAUACUCGUAAUCUUGUCAUAUUUUGAUGCUCUGACAUUUCUCUUAUUACCUAAUUUCUCUGUUUACUGAAAUGUCGUUGACCCUUCAUCGUCGAUUCUUUUCUUGUAUAUGUCUACUUCUUAAUAUUUUGUUUGCUCAGUGUCACAUUUCGCUUAUAGCGUGUAGGACGUUAUUUCAAUAAUGUGAACGCGUAAAUAUAUUCUUUUUUCUGUUUCUGAUGAGGACGGCAGCGCUGUCGAAACGUAAAAAGAGAGUUUUUUUUUUUAAUUUUUAACUUCCUUGACUCAGUGUGAUCGAUUACAUCAAAUUCUUACUAUUUAAUACGACUGAGUGAUAGAAUAAAUCCAUUAUUUUUAAUAAAUUAAAUUAUAAAUUAGUAUCAAAGCAAAAAUUCAAUAAAGAAGACUUUAUAUUAUUAGAUAUUAUACAUACGUAGGAAAACAUUAAUUAAGGUUUUUCUCUCAAAAUCAAUUUUAAUAAAAUAUUUUUGAUACUUUGAAGACAAGUUGAAAAAGACAUUAUUUUUUAUUAGAAAAAGGUCAACUCAAACAUCCGUCUAGUAAUAAAGUUUAUUAAUAAAUUCAAGUUUAAUAAUUUGACAUUGAAAAUGCAAGAUAUAGAUUAGUUCAUUCUACAUUUUAAAAGUGUAAUUAAAAAUUACUCAUAAAAAAUAAUAUAUUGUGCAUAAAUAUUGUAAGAAUUACGUUUCCAAAAAUUUAAGUAACUAGUUCAACUGUCUUACUCUACAACGAAUAUAAAUGAAAUAAUAUAUUUUCAUUUUUCUCAAUACACAAAACUUUUAAGCGUGACAGUAAAUGGGAGAAAAUCAUUUAAUAUAUAACAAGUGUUAUGUUAAGGUUAUUGUAAUCGAGGAACGCAACAGAUUUUAAAAAAGAAUUAUCGUAGAUUGACUAUGAGGAUAAAGAAUACUUUAAAUGAAUAUAACCAUAAAAAUAUAAUAAAUUACAUAAUUAAUAUUUCUCUCUCUCUCUCUCUGGCUUUUUUUAUUAAAAUAUUGUUACUAUAAAGUUAAAUGUAACUUAAUCACCACUUUGAACGUAAUUUUUUUUUUUAUUAUUUUAUUUUUAUUUUUAUUCUUUAUAAAUGAAUCUUUAAUUUAAAUAAAUUUGAUUUUAUAAUUAUUGUAAAUGAUGAUUUGAAAACAAGCUUUUCAACGCACUAAAGAACUUUGGCCUUACAGAAGGCAGCCGGUUUGGAGUUAUAUCAUUAAAGAAAUAAACAAAAACCGAUAUCAAAUUCGAAUUGUGAAAUACCGAAGAGUUCUCACUCAGUCUUUUCCACUUUUUUAAAAAGAUUACAUUCACACUGAUUUCUGCCUGAAAAUGAGAAUUUUCGUUCGAAAUUCGAAAAAAAAUUUCGUUCAUAAACUUUAUAUCAAAGCACGAAUUUUGGGUUGAAAAAAGAUUUUAAUACAUUAUACGAAUUAAUAAUGAAAUGCAAGCUGUAAGUAAAGAAACAAAAGGGACCUACGGAUUUAAAAAAUAAACUUUUACUUUUUUGCUUUUUUGAUAUUCUUAUAAUAGAUUCUGCACUCUUUUCAAUGCUACAAUAUUAAAGUAUAUUGAAAUCGACAUAUUAAAUUUUGGAAAUCUGAUCUGAUAACAGUUUUAUAAAUAGCGGGUCGAAAACUUCCAAGUAAUAAGUUUCAAGCUAUAAAAACUUUCAGGCGCAUCAAAAUUCACUUUUGAACUUCAACUUCACUUGUUGCUUUUCUCGAAAACUUAUAUAUUCGAACCGUAUGUCAAUUUAAACAUUUUUUGUGACAAAUACGUUUAAAACUGUACCUACUUAUAUUAAGAUGCGUUAUGAAAUUUGAGGUGACAUUGUAAUUACAUAAAAAAAGAAA